rnacentral:rRNA from 1 species
GAUGAACGCUGGCGGCGUGCCUAAUACAUGCAAGUCGAGCGAACGGACGAGAAGCUUGCUUCUCUGAUGUUAGCGGCGGACGGGUGAGUAACACGUGGAUAACCUACCUAUAAGACUGGGAUAACUUCGGGAAACCGGAGCUAAUACCGGAUAAUAUUUUGAACCGCAUGGUUCAAAAGUGAAAGACGGUCUUGCUGUCACUUAUAGAUGGAUCCGCGCUGCAUUAGCUAGUUGGUAAGGUAACGGCUUACCAAGGCAACGAUGCAUAGCCGACCUGAGAGGGUGAUCGGCCACACUGGAACUGAGACACGGUCCAGACUCCUACGGGAGGCAGCAGUAGGGAAUCUUCCGCAAUGGGCGAAAGCCUGACGGAGCAACGCCGCGUGAGUGAUGAAGGCCUUCGGAUCGUAAAACUCUGUUAUUAGGGAAGAACAUAUGUGUAAGUAACUGUGCACAUCUUGACGGUACCUAAUCAGAAAGCCACGGCUAACUACGUG